UAGUACUCUGACAGAGCUGGCAAAUACACUGUAAUUUCUUGGUCAGAAUUUUAUGUAGACUGAAGUUCAGAUCAGCUGCUAUUUUUACUUUAGCUGUUUUCAUGGCCAUCAUUUGUACAGCUGGUUUUGAUAGACUCCCGUGGAGUAGAAAAUCUCUUCAAGAAAAUAUAGACAGAAGAAAUACAUGGGACAUUUUCAUCUGAUUUGCUGAGUAAUCAAGUAUAAAAGAUUUAAAAGGUUACAUUCCCAGCAGCUUCUCUUACCGUUCUGCAAAAUACAAGUGUUUUCUCAACAGGAGUAACUGAGAGUUAAAUACAAAUCUUCCCUGUUCCAAUGCAUGCACCAAACCUGGAGGAACCCAUGCUUGCAUGAAUUCUACAUGUCUUCCUUUCAGAGGACAGGACUAUGUCUUGCACUGACAAACUCUCUACUAAGAUGAGAAAAGCUAAACUUACCACCACUUCUGGCCUGGGAAACUCAGAGAUAAGCUAGCUAGCUAUGAGAACAAUCAGUGGACCACAAGAAUUUCUUUGUCUCCACUUCUGGAAUUCAAAUGGUGCUUGCUACCUUCCAGAGUCAGGAGGCUUUAAGGUGGAUACAACUGAAGUUGCUGUGCUAUGUAUCAGUGAUCUCACAGUAUUCAGUCAAACCUUACCAAGAUCAGAGAGAAUUAACCAUUACCAAAAUCAAACCAACUUAUCAAACCAAACCAAAUUAAACCAUGCCAAACCAAACCAAACGGUGAUUUCUGGGAUUGAUGGGAUGAUGCGUGAGUUCUGCAGAAAGCUUCAGCAGUGCAACAACACUGAGUUGCGCACUGGACUGACUGAUGUGAAGAAAACUGGAUCAGUCUGUUUGAGUCUGAAAUGUUGACAUCACAAGACCUUCCACCCAAUUAAAACAGGCUGUCAAUUCUGUAAGGGGACUCCAAGUUUCAGCAAACAUUUUGCUCUGUUCAUGCCUGCCUCAGGCACAUCUGGUGACAAUAUUGCAACAGAUGUAUCACACUGUGUUUCACAGAUCUGCAAAAAGUUAUCAUCUAUGAAAAGGAACUAUGAAACAACUGGAAAGAUCACAGAAUCACAGAAACACAGAAUCACAAAGAUUGGAAAAGACCUAAAAGAUCAUCUAGUCCAACCAUUCACCUAUUACCAAUAGCUCCCACUAAACCAUGUCUCUCAACACAACAUCCAAACAUGCCUUGAACACCCCCAGGGUGGGAGGUUAGAUAUUCCUAGCAACAAAGCAAGUUCUUAAAUACUUGGCAGUGACAUCUUCUGUGAUGAUCUUCAUUCCAUAUGCAACAGUAAUGUUUAUGUUUUGUUGCUUUCAUUUCUCAAGGGCUGAAUUGGAUGCUGCAAAAUAUACACAUUGAAACAAUAAA